ensembl:lncRNA
GGAAUUUCAGAUGUUUUUCUUUUUUUACUCCCACCAGAUGACACUGAUCUGCCUUCAAAAAUUUGAUUUUAAAGGCAUUGCAUCUAUUUUAAACAUGAAAUGCUACCAUAAUUGAAAAGUAAUAUAUAUAUAUAUUUUUAAUUAAAUAGUAUUAUUUUCAGUGUGAAAAAAAUUAUCAGAAUUAUUGCAUAAAUAUUAAAUAGAACCAUGAAAUUCUCUCAAAAUACAAAAUACAAAAGAAAAAUAUUAUUGAACAAAAAUAUUUUACAUUGAUUUCACUGAAAAAUAAUAUUUUAUUUAAAAUUUUAUUUUUUUUUUUUUUUUUUUUUUUUUUUUUUUUCUUCUGUAGUAAGUUCCUAGUUAUAUCUUUACAGAAAUCUUUGGCUCUGGUUUUGGUAUUUUGUGCCUGUGUUUCUUUAAGCGAUUCUGUCUGCUCCGUGACACCUCUAAAGCCAGGGGCAAGAUUUUGUGUCGAUGGCUAUGAUAACUCCAGGCAUCCAAUGGGAAGUACUUGGACAAACCCCAGAUGUCUGAGAUGUACCUGCUUCCCCGGGAAAAUGCGGUGCUGUCACAUGGUGCCCCGAGUGAUUAACCUAUCUCAAGGCUGCAUUGUGAAGUAUGAUUACAAAAAAUGCACAUUUGAAGUGUUUAAUCGAACAAACCCCAACAUUAAGUGUUCUUAUGGCACUGUUGAAAAAUAAUUAGUUGAGUAAUGUGUACUUUUUGGAUUAAAAUGGAUAUCAGCUGUUUUUGGAUCCAACUUGGACUACACUGUAAGAAACAUAUUGUGCCCAUUUUACUCAAUAAAAUGGAGGCAACUCUUUGCA